AAUUAAACACCUCAGGAUUUGUCUAUCAAUGUGCAAAAAAACAACACCUACAAUCAACUCAUCCUUUAUUUAAGGAAUCUACAAUUAUAUCAAAUACCAAAUUCACAUAAAAAGGUGCAACAUAAUUAUUACCUUCAAUAUGAAGGAAGGGGAUUAAUAACUUCUGAAAUUAUUUUGUAAACUUGGAAAUGAGCAGUGAUGUGCCAG